rnacentral:rRNA from 1 species
GACGAACGCUGGCGGCGUGCUUAACACAUGCAAGUCGAACGGAAAGGCCCUGCUUGCAGGGUACUCGAGUGGCGAACGGGUGAGUAACACGUGGGUGAUCUGCCCUGCACUUCGGGAUAAGCCUGGGAAACUGGGUCUAAUACCGGAUAGGAGCCAUUUUUAGUGUGAUGGUUGGAAAGUUUUUUCGGUGUAGGAUGAGCUCGCGGCCUAUCAGCUUGUUGGUGGGGUAAUGGCCUACCAAGGCGGCGACGGGUAGCCGGCCUGAGAGGGUGGACGGCCACAUGGGGACUGAGAUACGGCCCAGACUCCUACGGGAGGCAGCAGUGGGGAAUAUGGCACAAUGGGCGCAAGCCUGAUGCAGCGACGCCGCGUGGGGGAUGACGGCCUUCGGGUGGGAAACUCCUUUCGCUAGGGACGAAGCUUUUUGUGACGGGACCUAGAUAAGAAGCACCGGCUAACGACG